GGGCCGAGGCGCGCGAGCCCCGGCCGGUCCCGCCCGCCCCGCCCGGAACGGGAGGGGGCUGGGGCCGCGGGGGCGGGGCGCGUGACGUCACGCCCAGCCGCGCCCCCGCCGGUGCCCAGGCUGGUGCGGAGCCGCGAGGCCCACGGGCGGGACCGGAUCCGGGACCAGCCGUGGUCCCCGCACCCCACGCUCCCCAUGCCGGCGGCCCCGGUCGGAAACGUCCACGCCCGGAAACAUGUCAACGCCCCGAAACAUGUCACCGCGGACGGCCAAGAGCGGGACCUGGCCCUUCAUCUCUGCUUCACCCGCUGGGGAGCAGCUCCUCCUGCAAGCGCUUUGUGGAAUGAACCGCAGUGUCACUCAGGACUAGAGCUGAAAGGAAAACGUUCCCUUCCUGGCAUCAGGAGACACCUAAGGCCGCCCAGCAAAUGCUCUGCUCCCUCAGGCUUUCUCAGGUCCACACGCUUCUGCAGUUAAUACCUUCCAAACCCCCAGAUGUUUGCCUUCUCGUUAAGUGAAGGUGCCCUGCGGGGAACACAUGGGUGUGCGCGCGUGUGUUGAAUCCUAUCACGAAUGCCGCAGUUUAUCCACAGAGCCCCUGUGGUGGGAGUAUCUCCUCCCCAUUCUCUCCCAGAACAGACAAGAUGGAGGGGCUCCCCCGGAGCCUGGGUUGGGGAAGGGGGUGGAAGGCAGGGCCCAGUCCCUCACAGAAAUGACUCAAAUGUCCAGGCUGCCCAGGAGAUGGGCAGAGCUGUUCUUCCUGGUGCACCCUGAGGGAGGCACGGUUUAGUGAGAAAGUGAGGUAUUCAGCAUCUCCCCACAAUUUGCUGGCAUUUCAUUCAACUUCUAAGCUUCAACCGCCUUGAGAAAACCAAACAAGAAAAGGGGCAAACCCGAGCCCCCACCUCAUGCUGUAGGUGUGGGUGCAAGGGAUGGCUGUGAUCAAGCCCUCCACCCCCACCCCUAAGUCGUUAAGGGAUGGGUUUAUUGAGCUCCUGCUCUGUGUUGUCGUAGGAGUAAUUCCUGUAAUAGCCACUUCCAAUGUGCUACGAGUUGUACGUGCAUGCACCUUUCCUUUGUCACAGCAACCUUAGGACAUAGCUGCCAUCACCAUCCUCACCUGCAGAUGAGGGCACAGAGAGGCUGAGCUACUUGCCCAGGCUCACGUAGCUAGUCAGGAUUGACCCAGGUAUGGAGAUCAGAUAAAGGAUGAUAAAGACAGUGACCAACCACCCUGUGCUUGAGCUCCAGGAACAGAGAGGGAACACCUAACCCAGCAGGUGCUGGGGUACAUGUCCUGGCUUCAGGAGGUCUUUAGGAAUCAGUUUGAAAGCAGUGACAUGGAGCCCCCAAGACACUGUAAGAAGAAAAGCUCCUUGGGGCAGAAAUCAGGAGUUCCUGGUUGACAGCAGAGCUGGCUCAGGGCCAGCACGGGGUCAGGGCUCAACAAUGACUGAUGGUCACACUGAUGGUCACACUCACCUAUUCCCUGGUGCUUCAAAACGUGCCGACCGUAGGACCACGUCAGUAAGUUGAGACACGGUGAGAUGGAAUGUUAUUAGUGUUCAGUUGGCGAUAGCUGAGUCCCCAGCCUCCUAGACUGGGACUCAUGUAACUCAUUGCAGAGCCCCCUUGCUCCCACUAUUCCAGGUUCCUGACCUAGAAAUAAAUCUGAGUCCAGCUGUCAGAUUCCAUCAAAAGUCCCCGCCCCACGGGACCCCAACCUCUGUAGGAAACACAAGCCCAUCAAGUUUCCAUGGAUGGAUAUGUACCCAAGUCAUCUUCAAUGCCAUGGGAAUCCAGACUCUCAAAAAAAAAAGUGGUCCCAGCCCCUUAGAGCUCACCUUCCUGGCAUUGAACUUGAGAACUUCACGGAGCAGCAGAGAAGACACUGAAGUUCACAAACCCUUCACUCUCCUUGAGCUCCCAUAGGCCAGCUCAUUCAACAAGGUCACCAGACAAACCUGUCCUUUUCUGCAUUCUUUGCUGGCGGUCCCUCCCUGUUUGAGGCAGGUCCCUCCUUAUCUGAGCUCACUGCAUCACUCGAGUUCAGCAACCACGAGGGGUUCACCCCUGGGCCACAUUGGCGGAGAACCUACACUGUGGCAAGUGCCGUGCUGGGAGCUGGGGUUGUAGUGACCGGGUAGUAAACUGCCCUCAUGAGCUCACAUCUCCAUUCCCACACCCCUGAAGUCUCCCCCUGAGCUAACUCAGAGGAGAAAGACAGCCCUGCUGCCUCGCUGCCCACGGCGGCAUCUGAGGAAGUGGGGGAGGGGAGCAUUGUGAAUGGCCAGCCCACGGAGAGGGCCACCUGAGCACCCUCUUCUAGCAGCCCUGUCCUUUCGGCAGACACACCACACAUGGGUGUCCUCAUCGGAGUGGUCUCUAGUGAGACCCUCACCAGCCUUUCUCUGCUCCCUCCUUGCCCUGCCCACCACGAAAUUGUGCAGGAACCCAACUGUAACCUCAAAAGGGCAGGGUUCAUUCCAGUUGGGCCCAUCAUUGUGUCCAGUGGUGCGCUGGUAAAUGUUUAACAAUCAGCAUGUUGAGGAAAAGGAAAGCCCUGAUUCACAACAUUUGACAAUUUCCAGGGUGUAAAUAUUCCUACCGUGGCCGAUUUCAAGCUGCCAACAUUCACGGCUGGACGUGGAGUUGGAAAGAGAUGGGCCCCAUGAGAGAGUAAUUCCGCCCUACAGACGGCAGACCGGGGGACAGCGAACAGAGGCGGGAGGGCCAGAUUCAGCUCCUGGCCCGCGGAGCCUGAAACACUUACUCUCUGGCCCUUGUACAGAAAAAGCUUGGCGACCCCUGCAACAGACAUAAAUAACCUCCAGAACAGAGAUACUAGUAAAACAUAGAAGAAUAAUUAGGAAGUGAUGCGUUUUAUUACCUUUUAAAAUAUAUAAUUUAUUUCGUGGUAACUGUAAUUUAUUCUUGUUUAAUGGCUCUUUGACAACCAGCUUGCAGGCUUCCUGAAGAAGGAACAGUCGCUCUCAUGAGCCAGUAGAGAUUAGUUAGCUCCAGCAUGCCACUACCUGUUCCCCUGCGCCGGGCCCCGAGCCGGUGCACAGUGGCUAUCUGCUGAAUGGUUGGAAAUCUAACUGCACUGCCAAGGGUCUAAGCACUAGGCAACAUUGCCCUGACCCUUCAGUUUUUCAUUCCGUUCCCUCAAACACCUCUUAGCACCUGCUGAGUGCCAGGGACUUUGUUGAGUGCUACAGAUCCAGUUGACACAACAUCUCCUCUUGGAGCUCAGAGUUGAGUACGGGCAACCAGAUACCCACCCCCCGCAAAAAUCACCACCCUCCCCGCCCCCCCAAAAAAAGUAUGCCAAGAAGAACACAACCUCUUCCCUUUUCCAACUGUGUAUGCCUUCGGUUGGUUUCCUACAAAGUGGGGUCCUAGCAGCACCUUUUUCCAGAGUUGAAGAAGUGAAGUGAGGUAAGCGAUGCCAAGCCCACAGCCUGGCCCAGAGUGAGCCCUUGGAAUAAGCUUCGGCUGUUUCACUUCACCUCCGUCAUUUUAGAACCCAUGUUUCUGCGGCCUCGGAUAUGGACCCUCCAGCCAGUCCACGUCUCUGGCCUUUCCCGUUUGCCCAACAGCUGGAGUGCAGACUCUCCCGAUCAACAUCUCAGCAGGGCUUCCAGCCUUCACGCUGCGGACAUUGGGCCAGAUCGUUCUUGGUGGCAGGCGGCGGCCCUGAGCAUUGGAGCCAUUCAGCAGCAGCCCGGCCUCUGCCCACAGAUACGAGCGUCAUUCCCAAUUUGUGACAACCAAACGGUCCCAGACUUGGCCACGAGUCACCUGGGAGCCCAAGCCGCUGCUGGUUAGAAACCGGGAUUUGAAGGAGGAUGUUUCCCCCACCCUCCGUGGGUACAGGCAGCUCCCCAGCCACCCCGUGGGCUGCAGUCUGGGGAGAUUAUAUUGCUCACACUCGUGCAACAGCACAUUCCUCCUCAGGCACCACUUCUGGGGGUGCGGCACACCAACGCCGGCUUUAUCAGACUGUCCACGAGCACAGGAUGGAAUAAGGUGCGGCCUCUUUUAAGUCCUGUUUUUGGAGCCUAUUUAACAACACAAGGCCACACUUGUUAUAAAAUGCCAAGCACCAAAAGCAGGCAACAACAUUGUUUGUUCUCAAGUGGUCCCUUUUCAUAGCUACACGUGGGGCUGUUGCGUUUGGGGAACUCUGGAAGCUCCGUCUGAAAACUCGUUGUCUGGAAAUUACAUCAGCUAGGAGAUCACUCCCGAACCUCAUGUUCACCAGACAUGAGACACCACCAUAAUGGCACACACACGCUGUACUGAUGGCAUCUAAUGUGCUGAUCACCUCAUAAAAUGUGCUACUCUUCCGAUAUAAGGAGAGGAGUUGUGUUUUUACCCUAAAGUUGAUGAACAUCUUCCUCUUCUGAGCUGAGGUGAAGUCAGCGCAUUUCCUAGGCUCAUUUCCUAGGGUGAAUUUUGGGACACCCUUUAUUACAAAGGAUUGGUAGUUUAUCUGGAACUAAUAUUUCUUACACACAGUUGAUUAAGUUACAUACAUGCACCAAAACCUGAAUAGCGGUUAGAUCUGGGUAACCAAGGUCAAGGUAACCAAGGCAAGAUCGAGGGUUUGUCUAAGAUCCCACAGCAGAAGAGUGGAAUUACAGGUCAUUCCCCCCACCCACCCCCCACUUUUAAGCCAAUGUUAUUGAAGUAUAAUUUACAUGAAGUCAAGUGUGCCCAUUUUCAAAGAACAGGCUGACAAGUGUUGAUGAACGUAUAGCCCCAUGUAACUGCCAGUGUAAUCAAGAUAUUGGUAUAGAACAUUCCCAAGCCCAGUAGUUUCUUCCGGACCCAGCACCCCCUGAUCUGCUGCUGUCACUAUAGAUGGUUCUUACUCCUCCUUGAACUUCAUACAAAUAGAAUCAAAUGUUGGGUACUUUUGGCCUGGCCCAAUGGCUCAGUUAGUUGGAGUAACAUCCCAUACACCAAAAAGGUUGCAGGUUCAAUUCCCCGUCAGGGCCUAUACCUAGG